UGAUGGGUGGUGCAGAGGUCAACAAGCUGGCCCCAUAAGCCUGAGGCUGCAGGUUUGAUUCCGGGCUUUGCAC